rnacentral:lncRNA from 1 species
CCCCAAUUAGUAUAGAGUGAUUAGAUUCCAAAAUAGGAGAAAACCUCUACAGAAAUAUUCCAGCAGCCCUUCUAAUCCUUUCAUCUCUCAUUUGUCUCCCUUUCCUUUGAUAUCCUCUCUGCUAUUUAUUUCUAAAAUGGUUGGGAAACUUAAUUAUAUGGGGCUUGCAAUUAAAGAAAAUCAAAAGGCAUUGGGUUACUGGAGCCAUACGUUGGCAAGGCAU